rnacentral:tRNA from 1 species
AAGGAAGGACAGAAAUCAGUAAGUACUGCUAAUACUUAUGCACCGAGGUUAAAAUCCCCGGCUUUCUUA